AGCGGCGGACGGGUGAGUAACGCGUGGGUAACCUGCCCUGUACACACGGAUAACAUACCGAAAGGUAUGCUAAUACGAGAUAAUAUGCCUUUAUCGCAUGGUAGAAGUAUUAAAGCUCCGGCGGUACAGGAUGGACCCGCGUCUGAUUAGCUAGUUGGUAAGGUAACGGCUUACCAAGGCGACGAUCAGUAGCCGACCUGAGAGGGUGAUCGGCCACAUUGGAACCGAGACACGGUCCAAACUCCUACGGGAGGCAGCAGUGGGGAAUAUUGCACAAUGGGCGAAAGCCUGAUGCAGCAACGCCGCGUGAGCGAUGAAGGCCUUCGGGUCGUAAAGCUCUGUCCUCAAGGAAGAUAAUGACGGUACUUGAGGAGAAAGCCCCGGCUAACUACGUGCCAGCAGCCGCGGUAAUACGUAGGGGGCUAGCGUUAUCCGGAAUUACUGGGCGUAAAGGGUGCGUAGGUGGUUUCUUAAGUCAGAGGUGAAAGGCUACGGCUCAACCGUAGUAAGCCUUUGAAACUGGGAAACUUGUGUGCAGGAGAGGAGAGUGGAAUUCCAAGUGUAGCGGUGAAAUGCGUAGAUAUUAGGAGGAACACCAGUUGCGAAGGCGGCUCUCUGGACUGUAACUGACACUGAGGCACGAAAGCGUGGGGAGCAAACAGGAUUAGAUACCCUGGUAGUCCACGCCGUAACGAUGAGUACUAGCUGU
rnacentral:rRNA from 1 species